UUCUUUUUGCGAAUACAGACUAACACGGCUGCUACUCUGAAACCUGUCUCAUGUCUAAAGCAUUGCUUGCCAGUGCUAUGCAGCCGGGGUGGCUGUGAUCUUCCGUUGUGAAGUGGACAAUAUGCAGUACAAGAAGGGUUACCAUUGGCAGGUAUUUGACUGGCACAGCUGUUUUUUUUUUUUUUUUUUUUUUAAUGGAUUUGCCAAUUGCCAGAAAAAUAAUUUAAUCUGCCAGGGCUUUUUUUUUUUUUUUACAUGCAUCUAAAGACUUGCAUUAUUAUCAACACAAUACACUGGGAUAGCUAAUGUUAAAAGUUUCUGUGUCCAGCUAAAGAUGCUGCAGUGUUCCCAGUUCCACAGUUUAAGCAAUAAUCAAUCAAAACUGUUGAAAAUACAGCAGCUGUCUGCCCAUCAACAUGCAAGCGCACCAUGCAUGGGCAUGAGAGAGGCUUUGAGUUACACAGGAGUGAGAAGACAUGAGAUGUUCUCAAUCUUAUCUAUAUAUGAUGUUGCUCAGUACAUCAAAUUUGAAAUGCCAGUUCUUAAAAGCUUCAUCCAGAAGCUCCAAGAAGAAGAAGACCGUGAAGUGAAGAAACUCAUGCACAAAUACACAGUCCUCCGGUUAAUGAUAGAACGAAGACUAGAAGAGAUUUCUGAGAGCCCAGCAACGAUCUAAAGUUCUCCUCAGCGCUGUGCUACAGCCUUGUGUCAGACGCGAUAGGUCUCUUUAAGAAUCACUGUUUACACAAAGAACGGAAUGAAAAGAUGAUGCACUCUAUCCUGGGAACCAAACCUGAACGCAAAACCCUGCGGAGAUUGAAUGUGUGUCCUGUACCUGCUCAGCAGACGUGGAUGUGUGAGAGUCAAUGGACUCCUUCUGCAGAAGGAAAAUCUUCUUCAGUAAUUUUCUUUUUCCCCUCUCAAAGUGAUCUGCAGAAUGCAAGGAUUCGGCACGUGUGUCUUAACCUCCCCCCCCCCCUUCCCGCCCGCCCCUUCAGAAGCCAUUUCAGAACUGCCAUGCCCAGCAUUCACAAAGAGGAGAGUUGACCUUGCUGGCAUGUUGAAAGAAGGCUCUUGGGAUAUGCCCACCGAGGCUGGUGUGUCAUGUCUGUGUGCUUUGACCUGCAGCAUCUGUAUUGAAGAAAGCAGUUGCUUGAGAAGAGUGGCUCGCGCUCCUUUACCUCUCACCUAAUGCCAUUACGAGAUGCGUAUCCAUGCUUGAGCGCUGAUGUGACUACGCAUAGGUUUUCAUGUCUGUAUGCAAAAGAAAAAAACAAAACUCAUGUCCACUGAAGCUAGUAAACCAGCUUCUGUCGUGCCCACACACUUAAAUUCUAGGACUGUGUAAAUGCUCCAGACCAGUCCCAGCGCUGGUAACACUUGGCUGCAAUAACUCCUGCCAACCUCCGCUCGUGCCAGAAUGUUGUGCGUUUUAUGAAGUGUGUUUGAUGGCAAGAUCAAUGUUCUGUGUAGCUUUUUUUUCCCCAUACAGGACAGUCCUCUUUGUUCUUUAUUUUUCCUGUUCAGAGCGUUCUCAGAGUGCAAUCACAAAAGAUAUACCUUUUUCCCCCCUGCACGGUACUGGUGGGAUAUCAGCCUUGUGGUCCCCUGGUGCCUCACGCUCGACCCUUCCUGCCUCGUUCUUCUACUGCCAGCACAGGCUUUCUGUGCACCUGCAAAUGGUCUCUGGGCUCCUCCAAUGUGUUACCAUUGGGCCUGAGGCACGUGGCCAGAGUGGUACGUUGAGGACUAUUCCACGGAGCAGUGGCAUGUGAGAAGGAGCAAGCAGUGCUCCCCUGUCUGAUGCAUGGCUCCUCGCUUUCAUCUGUGGGUCACCAAGUGUAUCUCUGCACUGCAGCUAGAGGUGUCAUUCCCCAGCUCGGGUAGAAGUACACGUGCUCGAUUUGAUGGAGCGAGCGCGCCAAAAGUAGCAGAAUAGCUACAGCCGCACAGGUAGCAGGACACGCUAGCCACCCGAGUUCAAUCCCAUCCAAGACCCUAAGUAAGGACUCGGGCUGCUAGCCCGUGACACCGCUUGUACCGCUGUAGCCGCACCAUUCUAUUUAGCGCACUGGCUGGAUCAGAGCUAGCGUGUGUACACCUGCCUGUGCUGGAAAUCCCAGUGUCGAUCUCCCCAAAGUGAGGAGGAGACCGAAGAAUCGCGUGAGCCGGAAGUGGAGGCCCCAGAGUGCUGGUGGGAGACGGACAGCAGCUGGAAAGGAAGAGAUGCACCUGCCUAGGUUGGGAGCCUGGACAGCUGUGUCCUCCAACCUAGAUGCUGGCACGAGAUCGCUUGGGAGGACUGAUGGGGUGGGGCAGAUGUUCUGGAAGUCGUUACAAUUAUAACCGUCGUCUGUUGGUGGUUUGGGCUGCUCGGUCCUUGAGAGCGUGGAGCGUGUCGGUCGUGGUGCGGAGUUAGGCUAGGGUGGCUUCUGGGGGUGGGGGCAGAGGAGGGUUAAGUGACGGAUUUCGAGAGUGAGGCUUGUGGGCCUGAUCCCACAAGGUGCUGAGUUCUCUCAACAUGCAGUAGGCCUGAUUCUCCCCUCUCUGGCGUAAAUCAGGAGUAACUCUGAAGUCAGUGGAGCCCUGCUUCAGUAACCGUUGGUUGGUAGGUUUGGUGUAUGGGUGUUGGUGGCCUGUGAUAUACAGGAGGUCUAAGUAGAUGAUUUAGUGGUCCCAUCUGGCCUUAAACUCGAUGACUCUGUGACCAGCCUAAAAAAUGGUAUCAAGAGGUGAAUUUGCUGAGCUAAGCACCUUGCAAGAUCAGGCUGUCCAAGUCAACUAGGACUAGGUGUGUCCGUGAGCUACUCCUGUUGUGUGAUACUCUCACGUGGUUGUCACAAGGAAUAAAGGGAGCCAAGAGGUGGCAGUUUCAUGCAGCUUGACAUCAAAUAUUUGUAUAGAUUUUGAUGCAUCUGCCGGAGGAAUUUUUUUGAGAUGGGGCGGGUAACAUUUUUGUUCCAGAAGUGCCUCAGAGACUUAGGAGCUUCUGGAAAAUUUGCCUCAGAACCAGUUGAAGAAAGACCCUUGACUUGUCCACACCUGUGAUUAAAAACGCUUGAUCCAUAAACCCUUCCUCAAGCAAGGGAAACCGACUCCCACCAGCCUACUGUCUUGGCCUAGAGCUAUAUCGAGUGAUUCCUCUGUUGCAGAACAUGGGUUGGGGCUGUUGAUUGGAGAGUGGCUAGUUGUCACUGGAUUUUUAAUCUCUGCAAGCAACAACAAUAUUACCACACUCCAGCUGGUUUGACAAGGACAGUGUGUAAGUAGCUUGUCAGAUCCUGAUGUCUUAAAUUCAGCUGAUUGUCUCUAAGUAGUGUUUACUGUCUCCACUCUGUGUGUGUGUCUUGUUGUGGUUUUUUUUGCAUGAUGGAUGUAAAGCACAUGGAGCUUGUAAGGCUCCCAGCUUGGAUGUACAGGUAGACCUGCUUCCUACAGACUAGCAGGCCCUUGGUUCAAAGCCUAGCUGAGAUGACAUGGGACACUAUUCUCGGAAUCCAACCCAAACUUGAUCUUCAGUCAUUUAUAUCUGCAUUGGCAGAGCCCGCAACAGGAAGUCCUGCUUUUAAAUGAUGGCUUCAAAGAUGAAUCUAAUGCUAGGCUUGAGUGAACAGAGAAACUGGCAGUGGGGUGAGCAGACUUCCAAGCAUGCCCUAAAUUAACUAAGUCUCUCUGUUCUCCUUGAUUGGCUUAGGACAAGGGCUGGGCACGAGCUCUAUGGGGCCUUUUAUUUCUUUGGAGAUGUGCAGUAUAAUGCUAGUGUUUCUCGAACGAAUGUUGAGCCCUAAGGUGUUCAGCUGUCCAUAGAUGCCCUGAGGAAUUAGGUCCCAGCAGGUCAAUGUGGGAGGAUGACAAUGGUUUUGAUACUACUCAGGAGAAUGGGUUUGGUUUCAUUUUAAAUGGGGAUUUGGAUACAAGGGUAUCUGUCUCUCUACUUUCUUUGCUCUUGGCGUUCGUGGCUGUGGUGUGAUCUGUACGACGUGGUUCACUCCUGUCUCUCUUGGCUUGUGUAAUGCCCUCAGUGGGGUCACGCAAGAAGUAGGAGCCGAGUUUCCAGAAGGACGACCGGAACACUUCCAUUGUGUGGGCUCUGCGUUGCUGUGACCCGCUGCCUGUUGGUGGCUUUACGCUUUGUGUCUUAAUCUAGAAUAGGUUUCAAUCUGUGGGCAAAUAGUGUUUAAUAUUUUAGAGCUUCUGUAGCAGUCGGUACUCAAUCUACAUAAAGCGUGUAACAAAACCAGUGAGACAGAGAGAAGGGGAGUGGACGUCCCAGAGCACUGGGAUAAGGAGCCUUUCAUCUCUGCGCUGCCCUUUUCUUUUCUUUUCUUUUCUUUUCUUUUCUUUUCUUUUCUUUUCUAAAGCUGGUGAAAAAAAAAUUUCUAAUUUUUGCUGAAAACUUUCACAGAAACCCCUGAUAUUUUUUUAUUUUAUUUUUUUUUAACUUAAUUCUUGCAACUCCCCCCUGCCCCAUUCUUUUGAGCUGCUCUAGUUAGCUCAGAUCUAAGUCAGGAUGGACACUGUUGUUCACGGAUGGCUGUAGAGUGGCCCUCCGGGAGAGGAAUGCGUUGUGAUCUUCCUAGUGAACUGGGGCUGAGGGCACUAAACCCAACACCGGAGUGGGUGCUAACGACCUUCUCGUGCUGAGAGGCUCGGCAGAGAACCUAAGUGCUGAACAGGCCCCGGAGCCAGAACCCUUGCUGGAAGAGGGCAGCCCAGAGGUCACGGUUUUGAGGCACGUCUCCACAGCAGCCUUGGGGAAGCGUAUACUGCCCCUGUUUAGGCCGUGUCUGUUUAACCAGUCUCCAGGGCUGUCACGUGGGCGGUGGUUCAGCAUGUGCGUGAGGUAGGGUGACCAGAUAGCAAGCGGGGGUAGGGGGUAAUAGGCACCUAUAUCAGGACUGUCCCUGUAAAAUCGGGACAUCUGGUCACCCUAGCCUGAGGCCCACUUACCUCAGCAUUCAAAGUUAAGCCCGUACUUUGCUGCACUGAGGCCUCCAGCAUCUUUUACCAGCGCUCAGUUCACACACGCAGUGUUAAGAUGCAUCCUUUCCCGCCCGACCGCCCCCCCGCCCAACACAUAAUUAAAGGCACAAAACGGUAACAUGCAACAAAUGACUUGGCUAACUAAAGCAAGCACAUUUCUAUUGUAAUAAUUAAAAAGAGAAGGGAGACUGUUUAGGUUGGUUUCAAUGACCUUGGAAAUAAAUAUUGGCCUUAGAUUGCAUGGCCUUUGCUGCAAAUAAAAGAAGUUUGCAGUUGUGUGUCCAUUGGGCUUUCUAUGGGAGAACUGCCCAUCCGUGUGGUUUGCUUCUUUUCCACUUGUACCCGGCCGUGUAACCCUUCUUUUUUCCCCCCCUUCCCCGCUUCUCAUUUGCACUAGUUCUAUUGUGGAAAGGAAAAAACAAAUAAGAAUAUGAUGUGAAUCUCUCUCAUCGACACAAUAUGCCAAAUAUCGCCCAGGGAAAUAGUUUCCAAGAGCGAGUUUCUCUUGGAAGACAUUGUUAUAAAGAAACUCGAGCCAGCACAAUGACCGUAUGAAGAGUUGCAACUCGAGGUUCGAUCAGCGUGGUUUGGGGAGGUUACCCCACACCUGUUUCGGGAUCAUGUAGCACAGAACCAACUAUUUGUGAAUUCGUUGGUGUCUCUUUUAUUUUUUUGAGUCAGCUUGUACAUGUUUUUUGGUUAAUGAAUAAGUCUAGGCUAACUUUACCCUUGUGUAUAGGGUGAAGAGAGAGAUCUUUGUAACAUCUGUUGCUAAUGUCUGUCUAUAUUAGGGGCUUGCACUAAGGCAUAUUUCUCUUAUCUUUAGACAUGUGGCCAGAGUGCCAAAUGGUGCUUGUCCCACUGCAGCUUUUGCCAGUAUCAGCACCAUUUUGCGCUGCUGCAGUAUUUUCGGGGGAGAGGGGGAGGAAGGUGCAAAUUUCUCUAACUUAGACUGGCCCUUGCAUUGCUCCUCAUUGAGGCGCUCAUUGAAGGCAAUGGGAGUCUUUUCAAGGCCUUUGGUGUGCACAAGUUCAGACUCUGAGAGCCAUUGCAAAUGUGGAUGCUGGGCUUCUCCUUGCUGCUUUGCCAGAAAAACUGAAAACCAGUUCUUGGUUGCCCUGCACCUCAUGUGGUUGCUCCCCGCAGCACAGUUCUGACAUGGUGUGGGGAAAUUCUGAUCACCAAGAUCUGUUUGCAAAAGGGGAACAAAUGGGGCAAUACUGCAUCCUUGUUACUAAAAGAAUGAGCAGCAAUUGGGAUUAUGCCAAUGACAGAUGUGUAGAGACCGGGGCAACGCUGGAACCGUUUUCCCAACCCUCUCUGAGCUUUACCAAUUCGUAUAAUUGUGAACCAGAUCCAAAUCUAAAACCACUACUGGGUUUUCCCCCCACAUCCCUAGCUGAGCUGCAGUUUCUGAGCCUCAAUUACCACCUGCAAUAUUUGCUUUAGCAUUGACGUAAGUAGAACAUCUGUGUAAAUCUCUCUCAUUCUGGAGCGAAACUAGCAAUAUCUCUUUGUAUGUCAUUAACGCUAAUUAAAAUUUGUGGGGAUUUUCUUCUCGAGUUUUUGUAGUGUAACUUUUUGUAGUUAUUUUUUUAAUGGUACCUUUUUUACACAGAUCUGUCUAGCAUUUGUGUUACUGAAAGUAUUGUAAAGUGACAAAUGCUUUUUAUGUACUUUGACAAUGCCUCAUUUAUUAACGGGAAAAGCUUAUGUAACAAUUCAAUACGUUAUCAAAGCACACGAGUUAGAUCCUUUUUGUUUUUUAAAUAAAGCACUUUGCAGAUAGAAAUGCUACUGAGAUUGCUAAGUUUGUGUGUAUUUGUUUCUUAGAGCUGAUGGUGGAGAGGAGACAGGACUAAGUUGAACAAGCAAGUGUUAAAGCAAGGGAAAGGUUUCACAGGGUGAGAAUAACUCCAGUUGUGGAGUGCCAGUGGAGCUGCCUUACACCAACUAAGCAUCUGGUGCAUUAUGCCUCAAUUGGGCUCAAGAGGGUUGCAUCCCAAAACUUUCCACACUGGCACAGACCAAAGGCUCACUUCAUAGUGACAUAGGCAGCACUUGAUCUUAGCCAAAAGGCCGACAAGAGACAACUGACUCUCUGCCUCACUCCUCAGUACUGGACUCUUCAGAUGUUUAUCUUCCAGAUGGCAAAAUUCACCCCUUUGUAGAGGUGGCAGCAGAAUGUCCGUGCAUCACUGAAGUCCCACUUUAAAACUUACUUUGAGGUCUUAUCUGAAACUACCCCCUUUACCUAGGGCUGUAUUUCCUCUAUAGAGGACUGAACUGUGCUGUUUGGUACCAAGUGGGGAGGGAAAUUCCUUCCUGGCCCCAAUAUCACUUUAUGCCCUGAAGCAUGAGGCUUGAUUUUCUGGGGGAAGGUUAUCCUGCCUAGUGUCUCUGCAGAUGAUGUGUAAAUGGUCAAGACUUUUGUAUAGGAUUAUCUUCCUCCAUAACCUUGUCCAGAGCCUGUGUGGUGGAUUCCAUCCUCUUCCCAGUGGCUAAGCAUCUGCACUGAAAAAUGCCUGUCUGACACCACACCUCUGGAAAGUGGGGCUGCAUCCUGCAAAGCUAACCUGCAGCCCCUCACGCAAAGGCCACAAGUGAAUGACUGAAGCCCCAGCAGAGAAAGUCUGCAGAGCGUCUCUAAUAGUAACCAUUCGAAAGAUAGCACGUGCCUUUAACAUCGUCCUCAUUGGGCAGGAUGUGAUGAGUGAUGUCAGCUCCAUUUGUUAGUCAUGGUUAGCUGAUGGGGAAUCCUGGUCCUGUAGAGUAGCUGAUGCUUUAUCACCGGCACACAUGCAGAAUGCAGCUCUUUGGAAGUUCUCCCUCAGCAGAUUAUUUCCCUGCAGGGAAUCGAGCUGUCUCUUACUGCCCCAGCAACAAGUGUGGCAGGAUGAGGACGACCCUGCAGGCCUGGUCCUGGAUCAUCAUGCUCGUGCUCGCUGUCUUCAGUGAGGCUGCGUUUUGCCGAAGAGGAGGAGGAGGAAGAAGAAAAAGUGGAGGAGGAGGAAGCGGGAAAAAUGGAGGAGGAAGCGGAGGGAGGCGCGGAGGGUUCCAGGCCCUCCCGAAGAGCAGCAGCAGCCAGAGCAAAGAGAGCAGCCCCAGGGGUGGGGUGAAGAUGGCCGGAGCAGCGGCCGCCGGGGCUGCCAUUGGGUACGGCCUGGGCGCUCUUGGGAGAUCUCGCCACUCCCGUGUAGGACACGGCACUUUAGGAGGAAGGCAGGUGCCACCGAGCGGCCAGGGCUAUUCCAACUGGUCACACCUCCUCACUGAAGGAGAGUUCUACAACCGGGCCCCGAAGGAUGCGGAAGGCCUCACUGCCCUGCUUCUGUCUCCAAUUGGGUGUUGCCUUAGUAUUCUCCUUAGGGGCUGAACAGUGUCCCCCCAUCCCCGCCCCAAUGAGUAGUUAAGCAAUGAGGAAGAGAGAGAGACUAUAGCUGUGCACCUCCUUAAUGCCGGACUCGUCUAAUCUACGUGUAGGUAAACCCAGGGUGCUGUGUCGCGAGCUGGGCGAACCCCUUUUGAGGCUGGGCCACAAUAGGUUAGCUAUUUUUUAUUAUUUUUUGUACCAUGGUAGCUGACUGGCGGGAGUGGAACAGCGAGGGCCGGGGGUCAGAUGGAACUAACUUUCCAGCCCCAGUCUGCUAAAAUUUAACCCUCUAGGCAAGACAGAGGUCUAAGGGGCUUGGGAGUAUUCGCAUGCAGUGGAAGCUAGACACAUGCAUAAUCAGGGCAUGGGUGGUGAAUGGUGCAACAAUGUUUGAGGCCCUUCAUCUUUUCCUGUGGCGACCUGAAACAAAAUUCAGGUUCUGAUGCUGCUGCGUGACAGGGUGAAUGGGAAGAAAAUCCCGUGAAAGGCAUAGAAUUACACUGGAGGGGCAUGUCAAGGUGAAAGCAGGCCCCUCCAUGCCCUCUGCAUCCAGUGUGAUGAUAGAUCUGAGCCCCAGUUGUAGCCCAGGACCCUCUUGUGCUAGGUGCUAAACAAAAAGCUGGUCCCUGCCCCAAAUUGCUUACAAUCUAAGCAUAGAACAAGAGAGGAUGUAGAACAUCUGGAGCCCGACAGCCAUCUAACACUGUUUGCUUUCUUGCUCGGAUGUUCUCCCUAGUCUGCUCUAAGGCAAAGAGAUGGACUUCAUGAAGCAGAGUCACCUUCUCCACCGUCAAUAACCCUACAGUCUUUUGGGGGAACAGAACCACAACACCGUCGCAAAGAAGCAAGCGAAGGGCUGGUGCUGAUUUUUGCAAGUCUCUUUAGAUUAGCUUUUGGCUUGACAAAAUCCAAGCCAGCUGUUGGGUUUUUUUGGGUGGGGGGCUCUGGACCCAAGUAUCCAGCCUCUUGCUCUUCAAAGUUCAGCUUAAUUACUCAAAUUAAAACCCAGUGGUGACAAAGCCUGAUGUCUAGUUAGAGGCUGGAUUUAAUAGGACUAGGGCUUCCACAGGCCAUAGGACCCCUAGAAAAUUCAGCCAUGGUUCUUGAAACCCUCUAGUGCCUUCUAAUUCUAAUAAACAGAGCUCACUACAGCCACUAGGCCUUUUGUGCCACUUAUUCCAUUAUCUUUUAUUAAAUUGCUUUGUUUCAAUAAAGCUCUAAAAAGUAGACCUCAGCUGAUUAAUUGAAAACUGUCAGGAAUUCUCCAACAGCACCGUCAGCCAGGGCACCAUGCCAGGAUCCAAGGGCCUGUUCAUAGCUUCCAUACAUAUAACUGCUCCCCAAGUAUCUGAGAAUCUCAGUUAAGGAUCAGGGCCCCUGCGCACUCGGUGUAGCACAGACACGUUAAGCCUCACAAGCUCCAUAAAAGAGAGCAGUGGAUGAAACCCCCGCAGUGAGUGGGGGUGGGUAGGUUAGCAGGAUAAGAUAAUAAAACUGAAUUUAGUGCACAACAAAAAGCAAAAGUCCCAGUUCCCCCGCUUUGCCAGUCUAAAUAAAGGUUGGAGCUGGCUGCUAUCAUUCAAAAUUUCUGGGAAUGUUUUCAAAAGUCUUCAGGACAUUUUCAAGUUCUCCGAACCAGCUCUAAUUAAUAAAUAUACCAUUAAAGAAAAAUGUGUAAAGCCCUGAACAGAGCAUCUUCCCUCUCCAGGUCUGGCUGAGCCUCACAGGGCGUGCAUUAAUCACAGCUCUCCACAGGCAAGGAUGUCUUUAUUUUAUUUUUUUUAGCUCAGGCUGUAGCGACUCACGCUUUGAACACCAGAGGUUUCCAGUUGAAUUCCCAGUGUCCUCCAAAAUAGCGAUUAGCACAACUGUGCACAGCUGUUCUACGUGCUGCUAUUUUCUUUGACAUGAUUAGAACUUGCUUGGUUUUUUUUCUUGCCCCUCAUCCUGCACUUCCAUAUUUUUACAAGGCUCUAUAAGUAGGGCCCUACCAAAUUCAUGCCUGUGAAAAAUGUGUCACGGACCAUGAAAUCUGCUCUCCCACGUGAAAUCUGUAUAG